CAGAUGGAUAACCGGGAGAAAUCCCGCCUAAUACAGCAUGACGCUGGGAAGGGACAUCCCUUUCCGGCCAAAGGGGGCGACUCCGGUCACGGAUGGGCAUGCGGCGCAUUAGGUAGUUGGUGGGGCAACGGCCCACCAAGCCGACGAUGCGUAGGGGUUCUGAGAGGAAGGUCCCCCACAUUGGAACUGAGACACGGUCCAAACUCCUACGGGAGGCAGCAGUGAGGAAUAUUGGUCAAUGGCCGGAAGGCUGAACCAGCCAAGUCGCGUGAGGGAAUAAGGCCCUACGGGUCGUAAACCUCUUUUGUCGGGGAGCAAGGCCGCCCACGUGUGGACGGAAGGAGAGUACCUGGAGAAAAAGCAUCGGCUAACUCCGUGCCAGCAGCCGCGGUAAUACGGAGGAUGCGAGCGCUAUCCGGAUUUAUUGGGUUUAAAGGGUGCGUAGGCGGCCUGCCAAGUCAGCGGUAAAAUUGCGGGGCUCAACCCCGUACAGCCGUUGAAACUGCCGGGCUCGAGUGGGCGAGAAGUAUGCGGAAUGCGUGGUGUAGCGGUGAAAUGCAUAGAUAUCACGCAGAACCCCGAUUGCGAAGGCAGCAUACCGGCGCCCUACUGACGCUGAGGCACGAAAGUGCGGGGAUCAAACAGGAUUAGAUACCCUGGUAGUCCGCACAGUAAACGAUGAAUGCUAGCUGUCCGGGGGGAUUGACCCCUGGGUGGCACAG
rnacentral:rRNA from 1 species